AUCUUUCUAGAAACACUUUCCAGUACCUCUACUUUGUUACGACUUAUUCCAAUUUUUAAAUGAAAGUGACGGGCAAUAUGUACAUAUUUCAAUUUUUAAUCAUUUUAUUAAACUAAAUAAAAUUACAUUUAAAUCCACCUUCAAUUAAUUUUUUCAAAAUUAAUAUUCAUUUAUUUAUUAUUAUUGUAAUCCAUCAUAUUCUUAAUUAUCAUCUACAUCUUGAUCUGAAUUAAUUUUUUUUUUAAAUUUUUAAAUAUUAUUAUUUUUUAAAAAUAUUUUUUUAACAACGAUAUAUAAAAUUAUAAAUUAAGUAAAUUUAUUCGUGGACUAUCAAUUAUUAGACAGAUUCCUCUAAAUGAACUAAAAUACCGCCAAAUUAUUUAAGUUUCAAUAAAUUAUUAUUUACUAUUUUAGUUUUUUAUUAUUAAUUUUUUUU
rnacentral:rRNA from 1 species